rnacentral:misc_RNA from 1 species
GUGAAUCAUCGAAUCUUUGAACGCACAUUGCACUCUCGGGUAUUCCGGAGAGUAUGCCUGUUUGAGGGUCAGUUUGAAUAAAGAUCGGUGUGGUUGCUUCCUUUCGUGAUGACGCACCGGGGUUGGGUCGUCUGGCCUUCGGUUAAGUGACCUAAAAUUUUGCAUGAUUUUCUUCGAACGUAUUUAAAUGAUUUUACGUACGUUUGCGAUAUCUACUACUAGGUGUGGUCAUCCUCAUGAUUCGAGCCUAUAAUUUUUCAUCAAGAUGACCUCAA